UCAGGAUGAACGGCUGGCGGCGUGCCUAACACAUGCAAGUCGAACGAAGCACUGCGGAUGGAGAUUCGUCAAAAUCUGCUUGACUUAGUGGCGGACGGGUGAGUAAUGUGUGAGCAACCUGCCUUCAGAGGGGGACAACAGUUGGAAACGACUGCUAAUACCGCAUAAUGUAUCGGGAGGGCAUCCUUUUGAUACCAAAGGAGCAAUCCGCUGAAAGAUGGGCUCACAUCUGAUUAGCUAGUUGGUGGGGUAACGGCCUACCAAGGCUGCGAUCAGUAGCCGGACUGAGAGGUUGAACGGCCACAUUGGGACUGAGAUACGGCCCAGACUCCUACGGGAGGCAGCAGGUGGGGAAUAUUGGGCAAUGGGCGAAAGCCUCGACCCAGCAACGCCGCGUGAAGGAAGAAGGUCUUCGGAUUGUAAACUUCUUUUAUGAGGGACGAAGGACGUGACGGUACCUCAUGAAUAAGCCACGGCUAACUACGUGCCAGCCGCGGC
rnacentral:rRNA from 1 species